rnacentral:tRNA from 1 species
UGGGGUGUAGCUCAGGGGUUGAGCACUUGCCUUGAAUGCAUUAGGCACUGGGUUCCAUCCACAGCACCACUU